AUGAAAGAAUACUUUGAUGAUCACAACAUGAGUGGAAUUGACCCCUCCGAGAGAUCACUUUGGCCCCGAUGGUCCACAAUCAACUCGGAUUGUCAAAAGUGGGCAGCCGCACCAAAGGGAGUUGACAAGAUUAACCCAAGUGGCACAAAUGAGGAUGAUAGAUUCAACAUUGCACAAAACUUGUUCAAAGAAGAGACGAGGGUGGCCAAGAAGGGGAAGAUCAAGAAAGGAAGGGUCUUUACCUUGUCUCAUUGCUAUGAAGUGUUAAAGGAUGAUGAGAAAUGGAAGAAGCGUGAUGGUUUGGAUGAUUUGCAUUUGAGCAACAAACGCAAGCGAGCAAUUGAGUUGGAUGAGGAGGAGGAGGAGGAUGAUGCAUCAAGUGAUGACGGCAAGAGAAGCCCCACACCCAACUCGGUUUCAUACUCGAAGCCAAAACGACCGGAUGGGUGCAAGAAAGACAAAACCGAAAAGAAGAAGAGGAAAGGGGAUGAUGAGCUCAAAAAUGCUAUGGAAGAUAUUGUGAAGGCAAGAAAAGAAGCCAACGAGGUGAGGAAAAUGGCAAGGAACCAAGAUGCCGCGGCCGAGGAGAGGAGGUUGGCGGCCGAGGAGAGGAGGGUGGCCGCCGAAGAGAGGAAAGUGGCAUUGGAGGAGAGGAAGGUGGGCAUGGAGGAGCGAUCUAGGUUGUUGGAAUGGGAGAAGCACUUAUUAUUCUUGGACACAUCUUUGUUCAAUGAUGCGCAAAAGGAAUAUGUCAACCUUGCCCGUGAAGAAGUCUUGAUCCAAAAAAGAGCCAUGAUCCGCACAAUGGGUGGCGGUGGCCUUGACGGCAUGGGUGGCGGUGGCCUCGGCGGCUUGGGUGGCGGUGGCCUUGGCGGCAUGGGUGGCGGCGGCCUUGGCACCAUGGGAGGCAUGGGUGGCUUGGGCGCCAUGGGAGGCAUGGGUGCACCUCCGGCCGCCAUGGGAGGCAUGGGUGGCUUUGGAGCACCCUCUGACGCUAUGGCCGCCAUGGGAGGCAUGAGUUUCGCUUCUCUUAUUGAAGGCAUGGGUGCACCUCUGGCCAUGGGUGGAAUGGCUUUCGAUGUUCCUCCUCAAACACAUUCCCAUGAAGAUGCCGUUGAAGAUCUUUCCAACACCGUCGGAGCUUCACGUGAUGCGAUGCGUGAUGAGGAUAGGGAGGAAGAUUCAUCUUCGGAGGCGGAAGAAUCAUCUUCGGAAGAUGAGGACGAAGACUAG
rnacentral:rRNA from 1 species